UUACUUGUUACAGCAGAAGCUUCAAGAAUUUACACUCAUUGGAAUAAUAAAAUAGAAGUAAGCAACCGUGCAUUAAAAAGCUAUGAAAAGAUGAAGAGAAUAUGCCUUCAAAUGGGAAGGAAUACUUAACUGUGAAUAAGACCUAGUUCAACAUGGAACUUCCUGGUGGCCAAGUCAGAAGAGAAGCACAGAACAAAAACGGAGGCACAGAGAGGUCAAUUGAUUGGUCUAAUGACACAGAUCUAGCAAGUGGUGGAACCAGGACUGAAUCCAGGUGUGUGUCCGGAAUUGGUGGGUUCUUGGUCUCACUGACUUCAAGAAUGAAGCCGCGGACCCUUGCGGAACUGUGAAGAUUAGAGUGACCUUAGAGAUCUCAUCUGGAAGAUGGUAGAACUGCUAUCAGCCUGGGUUCCCAAAUGACCUCCUGGAUCACAGCUACCCAUGGCCUGAAAUGUUGACCUUGGAGUUGUUGCAUAGGAAAGAAAUAAACUUCUUUGUUCUUUGAGCCA
rnacentral:antisense_RNA from 1 species